CGUGAUUAGAUGUUGUAUUUGGU
rnacentral:siRNA from 1 species